AGAGUUUGAUCCUGGCUCAGAACGAACGCUGGCGGCGUGCCUAAUACAUGCAAGUCGAACGUGAAAGUACUUCGGUAUGAGUAAAGUGGCGCACGGGUGAGUAACACGUGGGUAAUCUGCCUUUUAGUGGGGAAUAACACAGGGAAACCUGUGCUAAUGCCGCAUAAGUAAGCAAUUAGAAAGAGGGCGUCCGCAAGGAGCUCUCGCUGAAAGAAGAGCCCGCGGUCUAUUAGCUAGUUGGUGGGGUAAGAGCCUACCAAGGCAACGAUAGAUAUCCGGUCUGAGAGGAUGAUCGGACACACUGGAACUGAGACACGGUCCAGACUCCUACGGGAGGCAGCAGCCAGGAAUCUUGGGCAAUGGGCGAAAGCCUGACCCAGCAACACCGUGUGGGUGAUGAAGGCCUUCGGGUCGUAAAGCCCUGUUGAUAGGGACGAAGGGCGAAGGGUUAAUAGCCCGGAGCUUGACGGUACCUUUCGAGGAAGCCCCGGCUAACUACGUGCCAGCAGCCGCGGUAAUACGUAGGGGGCGAGCGUUGUCCGGAAUUAUUGGGCGUAAAGAGCGUGUAGGCGGUUCGGUAAGUCUGUCGUGAAAUCCUGGGGCUCAACCCCGGGCGUGCAGCGGAUACUGCCGGGCUAGAGGGUGGUAGAGGCGAGUGGAAUUCCGAGUGUAGCGGUGAAAUGCGCAGAUAUUCGGAGGAACACCAGUAGCGAAGGCGGCUCGCUGGGCCACACCUGACGCUGAGACGCGAAAGCGUGGGGAGCGAACAGGAUUAGAUACCCCAGUAGUCC
rnacentral:rRNA from 1 species